ensembl:snoRNA
CGGCUGCCUCUCAUGGGCUCUAGCUGUGCUCUGUGGGCAGAGGUGCUGCUGACACUGUGGGAUAUGUCCGUCCUGCCUGCCCUGCUGAGCCUAGUGACAGCGCUGUGGUGACAUCCUAUCAGCACUGUCAC